GAUGAACGCUGGCGGCGUGCCUAAUACAUGCAAGUCGAGCGGACAGACGAGGAGCUUGCUCCUCUGACGUUAGCGGCGGACGGGUGAGUAACACGUGGAUAACCUACCUAUAAGACUGGGAUAACUUCGGGAAACCGGAGCUAAUACCGGAUAAUAUAUUGAACCGCAUGGUUCAAAAGUGAAAGACGGUUUUGCUGUCACUUAUAGAUGGAUCCGCGCCGCAUUAGCUAGUUGGUAAGGUAACGGCUUACCAAGGCAACGAUGCGUAGCCGACCUGAGAGGGUGAUCGGCCACACUGGAACUGAGACACGGUCCAGACUCCUACGGGAGGCAGCAGUAGGGAAUCUUCCGCAAUGGGCGAAAGCCUGAUGGAGCAACGCCGCGUGAGUGAUGAAGGUCUUCGGAUCGUAAAACUCUGUUAUUAGGGAAGAACAAAUGUGUAAGUAACUAUGCACGUCUUGACGGUACCUAAUCAGAAAGCCACGGCUAACUACGUG
rnacentral:rRNA from 1 species